GGCCUGAUGUUUUGGAAACACUAGACCUUGAAAGUCUACUUAAAGACGUUCGAUUCGCCUUCAA
rnacentral:tRNA from 1 species